CUGACCAAACGACAUGCAACAUGGCUCGUAGUUAUUCGUCUACUUCCAACACUGCUGUCCUUUAAGCGCACCAUCGAUUUGUGGACAACUCACUUUCAACAGGAGACUUUGAAGAUUCGAGGACGAAUCUUUUCGAGAAAGAGGGAAUGAUGCGGAUACGGGUGUGCAACAACUUUCACCUUGGGUCAAGGACCCUUUGAUCAACAUUGGUGGUCCGAUGACAAGAUUAAGAACCAAGAAGGUGAAGGAAGCUUUACGAGCCUUGAUCAUUCACCAUACAAGCAAGGAACAAGCUAAGUUUGAA
rnacentral:lncRNA from 1 species